UUUAUACGUCGAAUUUUGGUCGCGUCGAAUGCAAUUAAGACAAUAGAUUAAUGAGAUUAUAAACCUUCAUUAUCUAUUGUUUGAAUUGCAUUCGGCGCGACCGAAAUUCGACGUAUAAA